rnacentral:lncRNA from 1 species
AUGAAAAGUAGCCACUACCGCAAAAAAACACCAAACAUGAGAGGACUCAUGACAAGCGAUCCAACGUUUACUCAAUAGAUCUACCUCCAGCAUAUUCUCAUGUGUCGUAUGGAAUGAAAAAUAACUCAGAGUACUCAAAUGCAUAUAGAAUCAACUUAAAAUCAAAAGAAUCUCAGUUGACAAACAAUACAAUACAAAACACUCAAACAUUAUUUAAUUCAUUGUUUGUCUAUUAACCUGUCAAACUAUCCAGUUCCAAUACAAAAAUUUCAACAGCCUAAUCUUGUGUUGAGCUAAAUAUAAUCAAGAAUGAUAUCAUAUCAUAUGGUAUACCAAUACACUGAAGUACCCGAAUUCGGUACUUGCAAAUUGGUUUGCGGUUCUCUACGUAGUACACGAAUUAUGUAACUAUGUCCAAUACCAAACCAAAGAAAAAAGCAAACAGAAACAUAACAUAAGACAGAUGACAAAAUUGGAGAUGUAUUGAUGUGGUGAACCUUCUUAAUAACGAAGGAUAUAGUAUAUAUGUUGAUAAUAAUAUGGCAUCAGGUGCUUGUUUAUACACUUAGCAACAUAGAAUGAAAAUUGGAUAGACAUAUGUAAUAUAUAAGAAAAGCAACGACUUGUUUUCUUUCUUCCAUAUAUUACUUUAAUAAACUUCAUGAUCACACUCAUCUAUAAUUUAUAUAAUUAGUUGUAUACUCACACUCACUUGACAGCAUGGGAAUAGAACAGCCAAUUAACAAAACAAAUAAUGAUACUUAUAUAAAAACAAGACUAGAGUCACAUGACAAAUUACACACAAUAUCAAUGAAAAAGGACACAUCCGAAAGCUGAUUUCCCUAACCAAAACCAAAGUUAAUAAGUCAUGCUAUAAGCUACAACAAGAGAUUACAAUUUGGUUGUAUUUUUAAUUAUUUUUUGAAUAUUUUUUUUUUUGUAGUUUUUAGGAACAAUAAACACAAUUAUUCUAAAUGUGAGUGACCAACAAAGUUUUGUAUUUUUUGAACAUACCAGCUAUCGAUUUCCAGCUGGGGUUUUGAACCAAGCUUCCUUGCACACUCCCAAUGUUCCAUUCUCAUCAUCCCCAUUCGAGGCCCAUAUACCAUGCUCAUGUAAAUUUGUCACAAAAGCCACAACUGAAAUAAAAGCAUAUUCACAAAAUCCAAAUCAAAUUGCAGACAAAGUAGUAAAAUCAAAAGCAAAUAAAUGAAGGAGAAGAUGAUUGGAACCUUAGAUGAUUGGAUCUCUUCCAAACACUAAAACGCAACAACCAUAUCCUUGAUCCACGGACACACAUAACCACUCCAACCUUCUGGCUCCAAAUUAAAAUCCGCAAAGUGCAGUUUCACCUUCAACGUGAUAGAUCCCGCUUCCGACGACACCACCGCUUGAUCUCGUACCUUCUACUUUCAAGAGUUUAGAUCUGAGACGCCAUUGACGAGUUUUAGAGAGAGAGGAUAAGGAGUUUGCACUGAGACUAAACUUAUACACAUAGUGGUGGGGAUAAGGAGUUAUGGGUUGCCGUCGAGAGAUACGAGGGCGUUGGGCGAGUUCUGGGUUGGAUGAAGUUUGGUGAGAGAUGGAUUAUGGGUUCGACUAAGAUGAAGGGUUUUGGGUUGGAUUGAGUGUUUUUAUUUUUCUGAAUGAGUGGUAUACUAUAUUCUUUUUAUCUUAAUCGAAAAUAUUUUUUUUAUUUUAUUGAUUCUAUUGAUAGUGGUCUACUAUAGUGUUUUAGGAAAGCGCUAAUUAAGGGU